GAUGAAGAACGUAGCGAAAUGCGAUAAGUAGUGUGAAUUGCAGAAGUACCGUGAAUCAUCGAAUCUUUGAACGCAAAUUGCACUCUCUGGUAUUCCGGGGAGUAUGCCUGUUUGAGGGUCGCUUAACAAACCAUCGAUUUCGUUGCUUUUUUUUUAAAAAGUGAUGUUUAUCGGAUUUGAGCCGUCUUUUUUUUUUAUAUUUAAGUGGCUUAAAAUUGAUUUUUUUGGUACGAUCGAAGCGUAUUUUUAUGAUCAAUUUUUGGGUAAAGAAACGCACACGUACCGUUAUUUAUAUGAUGUAAUACGUUUGACUAUUGGAUUUAGUUCAUUCGUAUACGAUAUUUUUCAAUAUUUGACCUCAAAUCAGGUAAGAACACCCGCUGAACUUAAGCAUAUCAAUAAGCGGAGGA
rnacentral:misc_RNA from 1 species